GCUUMCAUGCAAGUCGAGCGGCAGCGCGGGGCAACCUGGCGGCGAGCGGCGAACGGGUGAGUAAUACAUCGGAACGUACCCUGUCGUGGGGGAUAACCAACCGAAAGGUUGGCUAAUACCGCAUACGACCUGAGGGUGAAAGCGGGGGACCGCAAGGCCUCGCGCGAUAGGAGCGGCCGAUGUCGGAUUAGCUAGUUGGUGGGGUAAAGGCCUACCAAGGCGACGAUCCGUAGCUGGUCUGAGAGGAUGAUCAGCCACACUGGGACUGAGACACGGCCCAGACUCCUACGGGAGGCAGCAGUGGGGAAUUUUGGACAAUGGGGGAAACCCUGAUCCAGCCAUUCCGCGUGAGUGAAGAAGGCCUUCGGGUUGUAAAGCUCUUUCGGCAGGAACGAAACGGUGGGCUCUAACAUAGCCUGCUAAUGACGGUACCUGAAGAAGAAGCACCGGCUAACUACGUGCCAGCAGCCGCGGUAAUACGUAGGGUGCGAGCGUUAAUCGGAAUUACUGGGCGUAAAGCGUGCGCAGGCGGUUAUGUAAGACAGAUGUGAAAUCCCCGGGCUCAACCUGGGAACUGCGUUUGUGACUGCAUAACUAGAGUACGGCAGAGGGAGGUGGAAUUCCACGUGUAGCAGUGAAAUGCGUAGAGAUGUGGAGGAACACCGAUGGCGAAGGCAGCCUCCUGGGCCAGUACUGACGCUCAUGCACGAAAGCGUGGGGAGCAAACAGGGAUUAGAUACCCUGGUAGUCCACGCCCUAAACGAUGUCAACUAGUUGUUCGGGUGAGGAGACUCAUUGAGUAACGCAGCUAACGCGUGAAGUUGACCGCCUGGGGAGUACGGCCGCAAGGUUAAAACUCAAGGAAUUGACGGGGACCCGCACAAGCGGUGGAUGAUGUGGAUUAAUUCGAUGCAACG
rnacentral:rRNA from 1 species